GACGAACGCUGGCGGCGUGCCUAAUACAUGCAAGUUGAGCGAUGAAGAUUGGUGCUUGCACCAAUUUGCAGAGCAGCGAACGGGUGAGUAACGCGUGGGGAAUCUGCCUUUGAGCGGGGGACAACAUCUGGAAACGAAUGCUAAUACCGCAUAAUAACUUUAAACAUAAGUUUUAAGUUUGAAAGAUGCAAUUGCAUCACUCAAAGAUGAUCCCGCGUUGUAUUAGCUAGUUGGUGAGGUAAAGGCUCACCAAGGCGAUGAUACAUAGCCGACCUGAGAGGGUGAUCCGCCCCCUUGGGACUGAGACCCGGCCCAAGCUCCUUCGGGGGGCAGCCGUAGGGAAUCUUCGGCCAUUGACGAAAGUCUGACCGGGCAGCGCCGCGUGAGUGAAGAAGGGUUUCGGAUCGUAAAACUCUGUUGGUAGGGAAGAACGUUGGUGAGAGUGGAAAGCUCAUCAAGUGACGGUAACUACCCAGAAAGGGACGGCUAACUACGUG
rnacentral:rRNA from 1 species